UAGUCUGUCGCGCAAACACACACACACACACACACACACACAGCCAUGGGGAACAAGCAGUCGCAUGCUCAGGGUGAGUUCCGCUACAGCGGGCCCACCGAUUUCCCCUACGAUGAGAAGGUUCCGCUGUUUGAGGAGAAGAACGGCCUUCUCUUCCGCCUUGUGAACAACCAGAAUAGUUCCUGGGCCUUCUACAACGACUGUAAGAGGUUCGAGUUCCACGUGAAGGUGACGUUUGGCUCCAACUCGCGCAACCUCCAGGCGUUAGGCAACACGUACCUCGCCGAGGACCCUGAUGGCGGCUGGGUGGCCAAGACGAUUGUGUACCCGGGCAAUACGGAGCCCUUCAUCCAGGGUGAAGUGGUCGGCUUCAAUUCGGUGGUGAACGCCGUGCUGCUGACGACGGAGUACAAGGAGCGCCGCAAGGAGGAGAAGAGGGCAGCCAAGAAGGCUGCAAAGGAGGCUGAGAACGGCGACGAGCUCGGCAGCAGCACGCGGUAGGCAAGUGCAAUAGAGAAAAAAAAACGCUCAAAAACGCUAACACGGGAAUCGAAGAGGGCUCAGCCAAAAUGCGUGGGGUCCAGAGCGAGCGAGCGAGAUGGACGUGAUGCGGCGAGUGGGGGAGCGCAGGAAAAAACUGACGCCCCCGCACAGACGUAUGCGAAAGGGACAGAAGAAGAUCUCCUGAGGAGAAGCGCACACAGGCACACACACACACACACACACACAAACACACCGGUGUACUCGUUUGUAGACCGUGAGUGACCGCUUGUGUAUAAGCGCGUGUGUGUGCCCUUGCGUGUAUCUGUGUGCGUCUUCUGCGACUAGACUUGUCGAAAUAUCUCUUCCUUCUUUUUUUCGUCUUCUUUCUUGGCAUGCGCGUUGAGCAUACGCAACCUUCCUUCCUCUCUCCUUCUCAACCCCUCCGCCCCCCACCCCGUGUUUCUUCCUCUGCGCAGCAGGCCCCCAUCUCUUCUCUCCCCGCUUUCUUUCUAACGGCCUUGCAAGAAGAAGGAAGAGAGAUGUGCCUUCGAGUCUUUUUUUUUGUAUCGAUUCCCUGUUUUGGUUUUCUUGUGAUCCUCUGUUGCCCCCUGCUGCAUAUAACGCAUGUGUAUGGGCGCGCUGUGCGUCUACACGCCGCCUCACACCUCUUGGUUGUUCGUUGGUUUGGCCCCCCUCCCCUCCCACCUUUUCCCCUCUUCCUUGCCUCUGUCUUAUGAACUCUUCAUUUUUUUUUGGUUUCACUUGUGACACCCCUACCCCUUCACUGUCCAAAGGAGGAAAGCGAAGGAAAGCCUCUGCCACUCCUCUUCCCUUCUCAUACACCAACAACACCACGCAGCACCUCACAGACACACAGAUAUUGCAUAGAGGUAGCCCUGUCGCCCCGCUCCCCCCUCCUCCUAACGCCACCACUCCCCUCCCCUUCACACACCCUACGCACGCGCAGGUGAUGCUGCGGCCAUUAUGAUGGUGUGAUGACGAGACGGCGACAUCUUUCAUUGUUGUGUCACCCUCCUUUUUCCACUUCUAUUUCAUCUUGCUUCCAAUUCGAAAACAAUCAGAGAACACACACACACACACACGUACACAAAAGAAAGAGCCCGUCCACUGAGCGAGGGGGGAGCUGAGGGAAGGGUGUGUGCAAACGCGCUCACACCCACGCCUCUUUUCUGUCUCAUCAGGCACCCCCUUCCUCUCCGUUGGUGCUGCAGCCUGCAUCGCCGAUUCUUUGUAUAUUUUUUUUUUCUUGUGAAGUGUGCACCCGUGCAAACCUUUGUAUGCAUGUGCUUGUGUGUAGCGGUGUCUCUGAAUCGGUGUUUGUGUGCGUGUGCGUCUCUCAUUACGCCGUGGCCCUCCCGUCUCCCCUCCCUCCGUUUUCUCGCUUUGCGAGUUUGUUUGGCAUGCUCCGCGUCCGUUUUUUUUUUUGUUGUUGUGCCCUCCCCCGACUGCCACGUCGAUCAUAGACGAGAAAAAGAAAAAAAAACGAAAGAGGAAUGGGACAACAAACAAACAGCGCGAACGCAGCAAAGUAAAGGAUUAAAGGGGAAAAAAAGAGACACACACACGCACACACGUAUGCAUGCAUGUGUGUGUGCGUGUGUGUGUCUUGCUGUGCGCGUUGAUACAUGUUUGUUCAGCUCUUGCUGUCUCCCUCCCUCUUCCCCUAAGUGUAUGUUUCUUCCCCACCCCGUCACCUUUGCUCUCUCCAGUGUUCCCCCUUCUUUUUUUUUCCGCCUUUCCUUCGUUCUUUUCGUUUGGCCAUGCCCUCUCGUAACUGAUCGCCCUCUCUUCAGUCGACUGCGCGCGCACGCACGCACGCGCACACACACACACGCACAUGUAAGUGUUCUUGAGUGUGUGUGUGUGUGUGUGCGUGCGUGCGUGCGUAUGUAUGCGUUUGCGUUGUUGUGGAUCGUCUUUUGUUUUACAAUGUUUCCUGUUCCUCCCUUGUUUUUUUUUUCUUUUGCCCGUCCCCACCCCCACCCCUCCCCCGACCCCUUCCAUGACGGGAUGAGGGCGCGUGUCGGCGAAGAGAGGGAAAAGGGCGCGCGCUAAUCGGUGUCGAUGCUUUGUAGUACGCGCAACACGCACACACACAUAUACGUCACCUGCGUCUUUUUGCGACUCUCAUGUCUUCGCCCCUCCCCUCCCACGUUUUUUUUUCUUCCUCGUGUUCUCCUUCCUCCGUCUUUGUAUCCCCUCCCUCAGCGGCUCUCUCUCCAGUGCUCACGCGCUCCUGGGCGGGCUAGGUGGCCAUUGGAGGAACCGAAGCGGAAGGAAGAAUGCAACAGUGGGGCGGGGCCGAUGCGCACGAGAGGGUGGACAAGUGUGGAGAGAAGUGAACUGCAGCGAGCGCUGAUGCGUGUGCGCGUGCGUCUGUGCAUCUGACAUGGGUACCCAAAGUAGGAAAAUAGACAAGGAAAAGGGGCGAGUGCGUGUCUGGCAGUGCCCUGUCCUGGGCUGUGCAACCCUCUCCUCAUUCCUUCCAUCCCACUUUCCCCAGCACGGCCACACCACACCACCACCAAUGGACUUCAUCCUCGAUCAUAUGAACCGUAAAUAAGCAGAGAUACACGCAUACGCGUACUCGCUAAACAGAAGAAGAGAACCCACUCCGUCUUGUGCUGACCGUGAGGCUGGGGGUGGCGGUGAUCGUGAAGACGAGCGCGCACGUGAGCAGCUCUGCUCCUGUUUCUUUCUCCCAGCCCAGAGCGCGCGAAGAGCGGAGAGGUGGGAAGGCGCCUUGUCGAGCGUUUUGCCAUCUCUUUCCGGUCGCCCAAGUGAAAGCCAUCCGAUGCGAGAGAGGAAAGGAGGAAACAUGGAGAGGGGGAGGCGCCCACUGUGGAUUCCUCGCUGCAUCGCCCACAGGCAUCUGCGCCAACGUACAGGUUCCAAAAGGGUACACGUGCUGUGGCUCGUGACUCUCCAACACUUGGCCACACCCAUGCGCAUCUUUACUGUCUCUCCUGCGUGUUCCUGUUUCUCCCUCUCUGUCUUUUUCUCGCGGAUUCGACUCGGGCGAAUCUUCACUGCUCGUGUGCCACCACCUCCUUCUCCGCCUCAACACCACUGCGCUCCCCGCACACACACAAACACAUGUACACGCGUCUUUUUACCAAACUUCGGGUACAG
rnacentral:misc_RNA from 1 species